rnacentral:misc_RNA from 1 species
AGUUCUCAACCACCAUGUGGCUUGGAUUUGGGGGUUAUUGUUUUGCAGGCUUCAUAUCAAGUCAGCUCCCCUGAAAAGCAUUAGUGGUAUCUGAGCAUAAACUACUAUAGGUGUGAUAACUAUCUAUGCCUUGGUAUAUAAUGCAUAAACAGACUACACUGCUUGCAAACUUUUAAAGUGACAG